rnacentral:rRNA from 1 species
UUCCGGUUGAUCCUGCCAGACCCGACUGCUAUCGGAUUGAGAUUUAGCCAUGCGAGUCGAACGUCCCUCAGUUGCGGGGGGCGUGGCGUACGGCUCAGUAACACGUAGUCAACCUGCCCUAGAGACAAGAACAACCCCGGGAAACUGGGAUUAAUUCUUGAUAGGUCAUCUCAUCUGGAAGGAGAGAUGGCUUAAAGGGGUACGCGGGCUUCUUCUGCGUAUCCGCUCUAGGAUGGGACUGCGUCCGAUCAGGCUGUUGGCGGGGUAAUGGCCCACCAAACCUGUAACCGGUACGGGCCUUGAGAGAGGUGGCCCGGAGAUGGACACUGAGAGAAGGGUCCAGGUCCUACGGGGCGCAGCAGGCGCGAAACCUUCGCAAUGCGCGAAAGCGUGACGAGGUUAAUCCGAGUGACUUCCGCUGAGGAGGUCUUUUGUCAGCUGUAAAUAGGCAGGCGAAUAAGGGGAGGGCAAGCCUGGUGUCAGCCGCCGCGGUAAUACCAGCUCCUCGAGUGGUCGGGGCGAUUAUUGGGCCUAAAGCAUCCGUAGCCGGUCGUAGGUCCUCUGUAAUCCACCGCUACGGUUGACCUGCA